GGGAGUCUGCUCCGAUUGCGUCAGACACAGACACAGCUCCGGGCUACUGUUGCUUCUGCGGUUAGCCUGAAGAAAAAAAACUUGGAAAAUAGUGAAUAAACUUGGAAACUGAGACUCCCAGUGCGAGCGGAUUGGAGUUUGGAAAACCCCAGUAGCCUCGUGCGGCAUCGGUCAGGUUUUUUUUUUGUAUGUGUGUUUGGUGCACUCUUGGACCCAGAGUGUUUCGGUGCAGAGUGGAUUGCAUCUCCCGAGUUUGAUGGCGAGCCCAGCCCAAGGAUCAACUAAAUGGUAGACAGUGACCCGACUGGUCACUGUGACUGGAACAUUACAUAAACUGUUGACAGACAUUGUGACAAAGAACUGAAAAAAGAAGAGACUUUACCCUUUGGACUGUUAUUUUAUUUUGUUUUAUUUUCCUUGUGUUGUUUUUCAUGUUGUGGGUUUCAAAAGAAAAAAAAAAGAGAGA